GGCGGUUCUCGGGUGAUGCACCCCGGAACCAGAGAGGAGGGAGCCCGAUUCUGGGGUGCAUCACCCGAGAACUGCC
rfam:Myotis brandtii contig192714, whole genome shotgun sequence.